UGAAACUUUCAGCCUCCAUUCCUCAGCCUCUCAAAUACUCUUCUGAAAAGGGCGUUGUUCCCGGGCUCCCUUUGAACAACUCCCCACCCCUGAAGUUGGAAAGUCUUGACUAUUUCAAUCUCUUUCCCUUGAAUCACAUUGCCUGGGCAGCAUGCCCUUGCUGUUGUUGCUUUGUUAACUGUUAGAUAUUGAUUUAUAUGAACAUGAAAGGACAAACGGAAUCUCAAAUGAAGUCUCAACUAACAAUAUGACAAGGCUAAUCCACCAAUACAUCUUUGAUUUGCUUUUAAGAGGUUGCAGUGGAAGCGGAUAGGAGAAUACCUGAAACUGGAUAAUUUAUAAGGGAGAGGAAUUUAUUUCUUACACUUAUGAAGACUGAGAAACCCAACAUCAAAUGGCCACAUCUGGUGAGGGCCUUCUUGCUGGUGGGGACUCUCUGCUGAGUCCUGAGGGUGUGCAGGACAUCUCAUGCCACUUACAGCUAAAAUAGACCUGACUAUGUGAAAAGUACCGGUGGGUGUGAGGGAGAAGAGACAGAUGAAGUGACAUCUCAAGAGAACUCGAUGGUUGGCUGGAUACAGAAUGAAGUCUCACUCUGUCUCCCAGGCUGGAGUGCAGAGCCGCCAUCUGAGCCCACUGCAAUCUCCACCUCCCAGGUUCGAGCAAUUCUCCUGCCUCAGCCUCUUGAGUAGCUGGGAUUACAGGUGAGUGCCACCACACCUGGCUAUUUUUUUUUUUUUUUAUGUAUUUUUAGUAGAGACAGGAUUUUACUAUGUUGGCCAGGCUGGUGUCGAACUCCUGACCUCAGAUGAUCCACCCAUCUAGGCAUCCCAAAGUGCUGGGAUUACAGGUGUGAGCCAGAGCCACCACACCUGGCC
rnacentral:lncRNA from 13 species